ACGUUAGCGGCGGACGGGUGAGUAACACGUGGGUAACCUACCUAUAAGACUGGGAUAACUUCGGGAAACCGGAGCUAAUACCGGAUAAUAUUUCGAACCGCAUGGUUCGAUAGUGAAAGAUGGUUUUGCUAUCACUUAUAGAUGGACCCGCGCCGUAUUAGCUAGUUGGUAAGGUAACGGCUUACCAAGGCGACGAUACGUAGCCGACCUGAGAGGGUGAUCGGCCACACUGGAACUGAGACACGGUCCAU
rnacentral:rRNA from 1 species